UUUAAGGAUUAAGUACUUAAGGUAUGGGGAGAAAACUCAGAAGGAAGUGGUUUAUGGCGCCUAGCUAGAAAACUCAAGAGGUUGAGGACUGCACUACGCAAAUGGAACAAAGAAGUGUUUGGGUGGAUGCAGGAACACAUUCAGGGGGCUGGAAAAAGAGUUAAAAGAGUUGGACACUAGCCUACAAGUGGCUCAUUCAGAGGAGGUUGAGGAUGCAUAUUUUGCUACAAAAACAAAACUUGAAAUUUGAGAAAAGAAAGAAGGAAUGUGCCUGGAACAAAUAGCAAAGCAGAGGUGGAUUAAGAAAGGUGAAGUAAGCAAUCAAUUCUUCAAGCAAUUUAAUUGUAGGACCUUUCACAAGGUCAAGGAGAUGAGACUAAGAGACAGGUCGGUGCUUGAAAAUCCUGAGGCUAUCCAUCACGCAGCGGUUGACUAUUUUCAAAAUUUAUUAAGAGCUAGACCCAGAAGAGACCAACCAGACUUAUCAACCUGGAUCCAACUAAAGGUUUCAGAAGUAGAGAAUGAGGAAAUAGGAAAGCUCCCUACCCCCCAGGAGGUCAAAGAAGCAGUCUUUUCUAUCCCAGUUGACAGUAGCCCUGGGCCUAAUGGAUUUGGCUCUGGCUUCUAUAAAUCUUGUUGGGACAUUGUGAGUGAAGAUGUUCUGGAGACAGUGUGCGAUUUCUUUCAAUGUACGGAUAUUCCAAGAUUUUAAUCAUCAUCCUACGUGGUGCUAAUUCCGAAGAUAGCUUCCCCUUCGAGUUUUGACAAGUUCAUACCAAUCAGUCUAUGCUCAGUAAUGUACAAAGUAUGGUAAAAAAAUUUGGUUAAAAGAAUAUCUUUAAUUCUACCAAGAAUAAUUUCUAUGGAGCAAGGUGCUUUUAUUCCGGGGAGAAGUAUUUUUGAUAAUAUUACUCUAUCUCAAGAGAUGAUUCAUUAUUUUCACAAGCCUGUAAAGGGUGGAAAUGUUUUGCUUGAAGUGGAUAUUGCCAAAAGCAUAUGAUAGCAUUGAUUGGGAUUUUCUUAUGCACGUUUUGAGAUCUUUUGGCCUCUCG
rnacentral:lncRNA from 1 species